GGUUGGUGGCCAUGCUAUGGCAGCCACCCACAUACAAAAUAAAGGAAGACUGGCAUAGAUGUGAGCUCAGCAACAAUUUUCCUCAUGAAAAAAAAAACCCAAAAAUGUUGGACUUUAUACCAUUGUAAUGAUAAACAUUAAAACAUACUCAUGAAUGGAACCACGCUUAUGAGAGAGUGGCACAGAAUCAAAGAGAUUCAUUUUAAUAGAUUAACCAGAAAAAAUAAUAAUCAAAUCACACCUCAGUAGAUGCAGAAAAAGCAGUUGUUAAUAGUUAGUACCCAGUCAUAGUUUAAAAUGUUAGUAACAUCCUGGAAAGCAAGGAAUAAAAUUAUUAAAAUCUGAUUUAAAAACCUCUGCUAGAAAGAGACAGCAGGCUGGCCCCGUGGCUGAGUGGUUAAGUUCGUGCGCUCCGCUGCAGGCGGCCCAGUGUUUCAUUGGUUCGAAUCCUGGGCAUGGACAUGACACUGCUCAUCAAACCACGCUGAGGCAGCGUCCCACAUGCCACAACUAGAAGGACCCACAACAAAGAAUAUACAAUUAUGUAGCCGGGGGGCUUUGGGGAGAAAAAGGAAAAAUAAAAUCUUUAAAAAAAAAAAGAAAAGAAAGAUACAGCAAACAAUCCACAGACUAGGUAAAGUACAGAGCAUUCCUGGAAUGACAGGCAAGAUGCAGAUUUCCACCAUUCUUGCACAUAUUCAGCUUUAUAUCUAAGGUCAUAACCAGCCCAGUGGGUCGAGAAAAAGCGGGAAAUUUGGUGAAAAAGAUACAAAUUAUAAUUAUUUGCCCAGGAUACCUGCCUACAUUAAAAAACCAGGAAAAUUUGCAAACAAUCAGAAAUGUUACAGAUUUCACCAAGGCUGCUGCUGGACAACAGAUCACCUCCCACAACUCAAAAGAGACCUAUUCACCAGCAACAACUUCUUACAGAAAAAAAAUGAUUUCUUUUCAAAAGAGCCCUCUCAGAACAAAAACAAAGACUGGGUAAUUGAAGGACAAAUCUACAAAUAAUCGUCAAGGUCAUUCUGCAUAAAAUGGUAAACUUUUAUUGGGGGGCAUUAAAUAUCUGAACAUAUGGGGAGAUAUAACUUGCCUACGAAUGGGAAAGUUUAACAAGAAGCUGAUUCGUCCAAAUUCACUUGUAAACUCUAAACAAUGCUGAUCUGAAUGCUACCUGCCCUUUGUGUCUGUGUGUGGACUUGAUAAAGUUUUGCCCCCAAAUCAUAUAAGCAAAUAAUAUAAAUACAAUGUAAUACGUCAAUUAUAUCCCAAAAGAAUAAUAUGGAAUAAAUUCUCAACUAUUCUAAAAUUUAUGUGGAAGAACAGGAUAUUUUGAAAAACAUGAAGGAAAGGCUUUCUCUGUAUGCCCUUCAGAAAGGUGAAAUGAUAAAAAGCUGAUAAAUGGUGUGGGUUGACAGGGGUCAGGGCUAAAGGUCAGAGUGUAGACUGGGGUAUCCAUGAUGGAGAUUAAAUGUUUUAUACGUUUAAAACAUGACCAAGUAGCCAGGAUCCUGGGAAUGAAUCGAGGAAGAAACUCUCAUCCUGGUCAAACGAGAUGACAGUUGAGGGGGUUGUCACAGAAUCCUUCACAGUCAUGGGAGUGGGAGGCAGCCUAAGGGCAUUACUGAAGGAAGAUGCCAGCAACACGUGGAGAUGCACACCAGGGAAUAUGAUGCAGCAGUGAGAAGCAAUGGGAUAAAUACACUCAGUGUCACACAGUUUUAUAAAUAGUGGUGUGCAAAAAAUAAACAGAAUGAAAUUUAAAAUACAAUCUUAUUUAUGUACAUUAAAAACAUAUGCUCCCGUGAAAAUGUCCUAGGAAAGGAGGACUCAAAUAAACAAAGUUGCUCAUAUAAAUAAGGGAAAUAAACGUUUUUGGACAUUGGAAGAGUGGUCUGUGGUGGGCAAGAAAAUGAGAGAGAGGCAGGGGAUGAGAGAGAAAAAGAAAAAGUAAUGUAGAUGGAAUAAGCUCCAGUGGGAUGGCAGCUAAACAGGUGGGCAUUUGUCUGGGGAGCAAACAAUGAGGGGAGAUGCCCUAAGUGGGUGGCGGAGACCCCACUUCAGCUCCUGGGCAGCUGGGUGUCUUACUGAUGCCCUAACAUGCACUGUGCAGAACUGCAUUCUGGGAUUCCAUAGAGGGUCUGGUGGACAGGGUGACAUACCUCCAACUGAAUGCAUUGCAGCGCUAAACCUAGGCACGCGCAUCCUGUUACCAGCUCACAGUUAUAGACAAUAUAUGAAAUAUUCCACCACGUUCACCGAGUUCAGUCAUGGGACCUUCUCUGCGAGAGAGGUCCUGCAGGCAAGGCUCUGUGAAUAAGCACAAACUGUGGACAAACAGGCUCGAGACCUUCUUGCUUGCCCUGUUUGAAGACAGUGGAAGCAGAGACGUAGCAUAUAUACUNNNNNNNNNNNNNNNNNNNNGGGGGGGGGGGGGGGGGGGCAGCAGACAAAAAGAGGGGAGUGACCAGAAGGGGGCAAACUUUUCUCUCUGGACUAUUCAUAGCUGGAGCUCUGAUCCCACGGGUCCAUGAGGUCUAGUGCACUUGAUGGGUGAUGGGAUUCCUGGGCUUGUAGAUGCAGAGCUUUGCGCGCGCGCGCGCGUGUGUGCCUGCGUGUGCGCGUGCAUCUGUGUGUGUGUGUGUGGGGGGGUGCAUCAAGACAGCGGGUGAAUAGGGAUCCAUUCAACUGCUGGCGUUUGGAGAGGGCCUGAGGGCAGAGCGCAAACCUUCCAUCUGCGCUAUCGAGGGGGAAAGAUUACUGAUCCAUAGUGAGAAGCUGGAAGAUCAUUGCUGAGACGGAGAAGAACCAAAUUCCCAGGUCGGAACAGACAAGGCAGAACUCAAAUGGUGCCAAAUUCCAAUUAAACAAGUUCCCACCUCUGAACAAGAUCUAGGUUCCUGAGGUCAAAGAAAGAUUUCCCUGGAAUUGGUGUGUCUGCGCGAGGAGACCAGCCUUGUGGGCCAAGAGGGAGUUGGGACCAGUGAACAGAUGGGAGGUGACCUCGGGGGGGCUGGGAGAUAAGACUCAUGAGUUGCACGCGUUUCAGGAGAGGAGACUUGCAAGGGCAGGAGCGCGGAUGCCAGGGCACCGACACUGGCGAGGACACCCGCAGCUGGAGCGCAACGGGCGUGGAGACCAGUACGGAGUCCAGCGUCGCCACCGUUGCAGGAGAGGGCACUUGGCAGCUGAGAAGACUUGCACUGUGGGUGUCACGGGCGUUGUAGGCGACGAGACAGGUCUUGCGCACGUGGAGAGGAAGUCUCUGUCCGGGGCAUCACCAACGUCCGGGGCGGGAGACUGGCGUCACAGACGUCGGGGGCGUGGAGAGGGGCGAGGAGAUUGGCAGUGGGGUUUGACCAGCGAGGUGAGGAGACAGGAGCGGAGAGCUGCCUUGGGGUGUUGGUGGCGUGGAGUCGAGGGAGGAGACUGGUAUCGGAGGCAUAGAGAUGAGCGAAAAGAUGCCAGACGAGGGUGUCGAGGGCAUGGUGGGCGUGCAGACCGGUGGGGAGACCCGCGUCCCGGACGUUGCAGCGGUCUGGGGUGGGGAGAUGGCCGAGGAGAGCUGCGUUCCAGGCGUGGAGACCGGAGAUGCGGGCAACUGGAGCGUGGGCAUCGAAAAGGAGACCGUGUCUCCGGUGUUGCAGGUGUGGAGACUGGCGUGCGGGGAGUGGAGAUUGGCUUGGAGACAUGCGUCCCAGGAGUCGUGGGCAUUGAAGGACAGAAGCUGCCUUCCCAGAGAAUAGCAGCGUUCCCAUUGGAUUCUCUGGAUCCGGUUAGGAGACUGGUUCCUAACUCCUGCUGUUACUCAGGUUCCAGGAGGGAGGCAUGGAAAAGGGAUGGAGCAAUUGGGAGGAACAGGCUGACCACAGGCGGGAAAUACACCUGCAACACAUCCAUCACAGCUGACAGAAGAAUAGAACAAUGUGAUGCCCGGAGCCUCUCAUGCCUGGAGACCAACAUCCCUGGACCCCCUCAUUGCCCAUUUUCCCUCUGUAACUGCCUCAAGAUUCUCUAAACCUUGAAGAUGGGUUUUGUGAGACAUUAGUCACCUAUCUUGUGAUUAGCCGGCUAAUCUAAUUAAACUUCCUUUCUCUGUUGUGAUUAAUUGGCUCAGAUCACAGCGAGCAGAGCCAUCCCAUUGCUCAGUCGGUAUCACCUCC
ensembl:lncRNA